ACACAUGGUACGUGGCACAUGUUUUUUUACUUUUUUAUAGACUAUACACUUUACAUGGUACAUGCCAUAAUUGCCAUUUAAUUUUUUGAUCAGAUUGUACACUUUAUUCAUGUACAUUGUACUUGUCAAAACGACCUUUUUGUGUUAAAAAACUCCACUCUUUUUUUGACGUAAGCGUGUCAAAGCCACUAGUUUUUUUUUCAGGGAGAAUCGAUGUGCCCUCCCGCGCGCAGAGAAUGAAAAUUUCAAUUUUUUUGGAGCGAAGCCCAUUCUAGUUGUACACUGACCGACCCUAAUCCUCGUUUUCCCAUCUGGCGUCGUCCUCUUCCUUUCUUAAUCCCGAUCCAAUCUUCCAAUCCCCUCCGCCGCUCCUCUCCCAGGCUCCCACCCCCGUCCACCUCCGCCGCCCCCACCAUCUACACAACAACCAUCGCCAUCGAGAGCCCGAAGAAAGCCACUGUUGCGCCGCCGCCGCUGCAGGCAGUCGGGCACGGCAGGAGGAGCCCUCCGUACGCCUGAUCUUCCCGACGCUGUCGGGCCACUCGUCCAUGGCGUGAUCUCCGUUGCCGCGUUUCCUCCCCGAUGCUGCACCCCAGAACGCGGCUGGCCCAUCCAGCUCAUUGACGCCCGCGUCACCAGGUCCUCCUCCAGCGUCCACUGCGGUGGGAGCAGAGGUGCAGCCCUGCCAUGACGGACACCUCCUUCCCGCGCGCCCGCGCCUCCAGGCGUCUGCUCGUCAUCGUCAGCCACCACGGUCAGCAAGGCCAACCUCCACGGCGACUGGAUCGGCCACCACCGCCACGAGGACGACCAUCCUCCAUGGCCACCCCACUGCCCGCCUCACCAUCGGAUCCGUCGUCCAGGGCCUACACCCGCGCAUGGUCGGCAGAUGUAUGGGUCGCCGGCCGCCUCUACAACGACGAGCACCGUGAAUUUUAUCUAGCUAUUUCCCUUUUUUGUAGGAUAUCCAGUAAAUUUUUGAAGUUUUGAUCUACUGAUGAACUAGGCGAUGUGAAACUGAUGAACUAAUUUACUUACUAUAAGUUAAUGAACACUCAAUUUCCAUCAAAAAAAUGAACACUCAAUUCAUACUGUUAGAAUUUGUGUUAUAUAGAUUUGGGGCACUUUUAUGUGCAUAGAUGCUUGGCACUUUUGAGAAAUAUUACAUCAGUUUGUUUGUGCAGCACAUCAGUUUUACUAUCAACACUUUGAGAAAUAUACAAUUCUAGUGCAACCUGUAUUUGCAUUCUAUAAGUUAGCUACUUUAUCACAUUCAUGUGUGCAUUGGCAAAGUACAUAUUCACAUGUAAAAUGGCUGUUUUGUUUAUAGUCCAGUUCCAAACAAAUUUAAGAGGAAUUCAUUUAGUUCGUGUUGAUACCAUAAGCUGCUACAUAUUUUGGCAGUUCAUUCAGUUCCAUUCCCUAUCAUCCUUUGCAGCUUCAGGUAUUACAUCUCAAUGUUUUUCGCAUGAUUCUUUCCAUAUAUUACUUUGAUGUGCCUAAUUUCUGGAGAGGCCUUUUUUUGCUAGUUGUUCAUCUAAGCUUACUGCUGCCUGAUGCAUGAACUGUGGUUUCUAAUCGGCAACAAGUAGUUGUACAAUAUUUGCAUCAUGUUUGAGAGUAAAGUUGAUAAAUCCAUGUAGGCCAAUUGAUUUGCCAUGCGGGUAGUGCUCUAUUCCCUACUAAUGCAGUGUGCUUGGUGUUAAAUUAAUGAGGUAAAACAGAAACUCGAGUUGCCUUGGUGCCAUGUUGUUGCUGAACUUACGGACUUCUGCACUCAAUAGGGAGCAGGUCUCCUAGCUAGCCACGGGAAGGAGCAUGGCUGCCGGUGGUGUCCGGCGUGGACGAAUUAACUCAGUCUGCUUCUAUGCAUUUUUUUUCCUUUUUGCAGUUGGCAGUGUUCUCAAUAGAAAAGGCAUGUGACUUUCUUAAUAAUUCUGGAUACUAGUCAUGUUUUGUUGACAAAGUAACCAAGUACUGAAUUUAUAUUCUAACUAGCCAAGAGAUAUAUGUUGCAAAGUUGGUUAUGUAGUUAUCUGUUCUCAGUUGGAUUCAUUAACUGAUUAGCUGAUUGCGGCCUUGUCCAAAACUGAGGUUAUAUCAGUUAAGUAUGUUCGCUUCGAAUCGGUUCAUUUGAUAUUGUUGUGCAUGUCGCUUGCAGUUUCUCUUCCCCAAUACAAACUUUGUAUGCCGUAUUUUAUUAGGCUACCAUUAUCAGCAAAUUUAACUUUAAACAGCAACUUUAAUCUUUAUAGGGACCAAUAUCUUCUGUUACUAAUAUGUUAAUAUUCGUGUUCCAAAUUCUAGCCCUUUGCUUGAUGAUGAUGCAACUCAUAUUUUAAGAAGUAGGGAUGGACAAAGGACCGAAACAACUGUUGAUGCCUUCAAGAAGUCACGACAAGAGGAAACUAGCAUAUGCUCCUUGUUCUGAUGAUGACGAGGGCUAUUCAGUUAUGUUCAAGAGGAAAAAAAUACUCAUUUGUUGAUCUAGUCCAUGUUAUCUAUCGAUGGUACAUGUCGCAUCAGGCUGCUAUGUAGCUCGUGUUAUUUUUCUCUCAUGUGUUAUGUGAAGUAUGAUCAUGGGGUAUGCCUCAAGAUCUGGCAGGUCUGGGAGCUCUACUUCAUCAACACAGAUCUGAGUUCUCGAAGAAAGAAUUGUACAGAAAGAUAGAGAUGCAAGAGAUGCAAAUGACAGGCAUCGGGAGGAGUUAGCCGCAAGACUUGAAGCACAAGAGAGAGCAUUUGAAGAGAUACAGAAGAAGCAACAAGACGAAUUGGAUGCCCUAAAGAAGAGCCAUCAAGAGAACAAUGAAGCCUGGGCAAAGAAGCAACAAGAGACGAAUAAUCUUAUUAGUUUCCUCUUGAGGGCUCAAGCAACUCAGCAGUCCGAGUCCAAACCUGAUGGUGCAUGAAAGCCAUCCUUCCGUGAUGGAAAGAUAGUUGCUGAAUCAUACAUUGUGAUCAUUGGGACAACACAUGUGGUCUCUAGUUAAUUAUUAGUUUUCAUCUUUUUCUAUUGUAUGUGCCAAACUGAGUCAGUGUUAUUUUUUACCGUCAUUUUUGUUUAAAGAAUGAUUUAGUUGAGACGAUUUCAUAUAUAAUAUGAUUUUUAUUUCGUAUCAACUUAUGAUGUGAUUUGGCUCUUUAAAUUGUUUAUAUAAUCUUAUGUGAAUUAAAUACUUACUGUGAUAUGCAUUUGGAAUAUAGUGGAUUUGAUAAUUCAUCGUAAUUUAAAUUUGAAAGAAAGUAAUUAUAUUUUGAUGACUUCAACUUCAUCCAUAAUAAAAUUAGCUACGCUACUAGUGGGAUAGCUGCUCGGGUGUUGACGUGGCAUAAAUUUAGUGACGUUGCUUUGUCACUAGACAUGGUACAAUAUGGCAUAUUUUCUCCUAACAUGUGACAUUCAUCGACCGUCAUGGAAGUAGCAAGUCGAUGACGUUCUAUAUAACGUCAUCGAAGGUCCCCAUUUCAAUGACGUUUUAUAGCUUGCGCCGUCACUACAAGUAAUUUGUGACGGGGAUUCCGUGACGAUGCUCGUGACGCCCAUAAAAUGUCACUCGGGGGUAAUUUGUGACGUUAUUAGCUAUUCGAUGACAUUUUUUUGCUCGUCAUAGUAGGUCCGAUCUCUUGUAGUAUUGGCACAUCACCACCGACAGAUACGUGAUGUUGGGGCCCGGCGCAACACCAGAUCAG